rnacentral:rRNA from 1 species
GAUCAUGGCUCAGGAUGAACACUAGCGACAGGCCUAACACAUGCAAGUCGAGGGGCAGCGAAGAGGUAGCAAUACCUUUGUCGGCGACCGGCGUACGGGUGAGUAACACGUAUGCAAUCCACCUGUAACAGGGGGAUAACCCGGAGAAAUCCGGACUAAUACCCCAUAAUAUGGGCGCUCCGCAUGGAAAGCCCAUUAAAGAGAGCAAUUUUGGUUACAGACGAGCAUGCGCUCCAUUAG